rnacentral:rRNA from 1 species
GCAUUCAGUUGCCGAUCGGGUAAUGCCGGGCGACUCUGGAAGGACUGCCAUCGACAGAUGGAGGAAGGUGGGGAUGACGUCAAGUCAUCAUGGCCCUUAUGUCCAGGGCGACACACGUGCUACAAUGGCCGGCACAACGGGAAGCGAGUUCGCGAGGACAAGCGGAUCCCUUAAAGCCGGUCGCAGUUCGGAUUGAAGUCUGCAACUCGACUUCAUGAAGCUGGAAUCGCUAGUAAUCGUGGAUCAGCCAAGCCGCGGUGAAUACGUUCCCGGGCCUU